UACAGAGGGUGCGAGCGUUGUUCGGAAUCAUUGGGCGUAAAGCGCUUGUAGGCGGCCUGUCAAGUCGCGUGUGAAAUCCCUUGGCUUAACCAAGGAAGUGCGCGCGAAACUGGCGGGCUUGAGUGCCGGAGAGGGUCGCGGAAUUCCCGGUGUAGAGGUGAAAUUCGCAGAUAUCGGGAAGAACACCCGUGGCGAAGGCGGCUCUCUGGGACGGUACUGACGCUGAGACGCGAAAGCGUGGGGAGCGAACAGG
rnacentral:rRNA from 1 species